rfam:Ornithorhynchus anatinus chromosome X1, whole genome shotgun sequence.
CCCCUCUCAGGAUGGCAUCUGGAGAGUUUCCAGUUCUCUACCAGUCUCCGCAAUGGGAGGGAGAGUCAAGCAGAGGCCUACCCAUUCCAUUCCUAGCUUGGGCAGUGGUUAGUGAAUGGAAAUCAGUCUGCUACAAGU